rnacentral:rRNA from 1 species
GCCUGGCCCUAAAUCUUGAUGCUUACACACCAAAGCAUCCGCCUGAGAACUACGAGCACAAACGCUUAAAACUCUAAGGACUUGGCGGUGCCCCAAACCCACCUAGAGGAGCCUGUCCUAUAAUCGAUAACCCACGAUACACCCGACCACUUCUAGCCAAAACAGCCUACAUACCGCCGUCGCCAGCUCACCUCUCCUGAGAGCGCUACAGUGAGCACAACUGCCCUAACCCCGUUAGCAAGACAGGUCAAGGUAUAGCCCAUGAAGUGGAAGAGAUGGGCUACAUUUUCUAACCUAGAAUAUCUCUACGGAAGGGGGCAUGAAACAGCCCCCAGAAGGCGGAUUUAGCAGUAAAGCGGGAUAAUAUAUGCCCCCUUUAAGCCGGCUCUGAGGUAC